rnacentral:rRNA from 1 species
UGGGGAAUAUUGCACAAUGGGCGCAAGCCUGAUGCAGCGACGCCGCGUGAGGGAUGGAGGCCUUCGGGUUGUAAACCUCUUUCGCCAGUGAAGCAGGCCAUCUUCUUUGUGGGGUGGUUGACGGUAGCUGGAUAAGAAGCGCCGGCUAACUACGUGCCAGCAGCCGCGGUAAUACGUAGGGCGCGAGCGUUGUCCGGAAUUAUUGGGCGUAAAGAGCUCGUAGGCGGCUGGUCGCGUCUGUCGUGAAAUCCCCUGGCUUAACUGGGGGCUUGCGGUCGGUACGGGCCGGCUUGAGUGCGGUAGGGGAGACUGGAAUUCCUGGUGUAGCGGUGGAAUGCGCAGAUAUCAGGAGGAACACCGGUGGCGAAGGCGGGUCUCUGGGCCGUUACUGACGCUGAGGAGCGAAAGCGUGGGGAGCGAACAGG